GCCGCCGCCUCCUCUCCUCCCCUGCGCCCCGCUCCUCCCGCCUAGCCGCCGCCUCCUCUUCCCUCCCUGCCUCACCGCCGCCCGGCUUCCUCCCCUCACGGCCUCCUCCUUCCACCCCUCAUCUAGGGCCUCUGAAACCCUAACGCCCAGCAAGGAUCAAUACGAUACAAGGUGAGGGGAGGGAUCGAGCAACAAGGUGAGGCAGCGCCCAGAUCCACAGGUCUGCGACCGUCCUCGAGGUCGGCCAUGGAGGUCCGGUCCGGCCCGACAGCAGCCAUGGAAGGAGACACCCGAAUCCGUAGCUCUCCAAGGACGCGUUAGCUGUAGGCCAUCUCCGGCGAGCUCAUCCACGGAUCUCCAACUAUGUUGCUCCGAUCUGGAAGAGGUGGUGGAGUUGUUGUUGUUGCUGCUGCAGGUGGACGAGGCACGAGCCUUCAUGGCUCCUCCCUCCUCCUCCCCCCGUGACGUGGCAUGACACCGCCAUCAUGCGUCAGGUUUAGGUAGAAGGCACGUCACCGCCACGCUCUCCUCCACUACAACGCCACGCACCCGGUUACUCCGAUGAGGACAAGCUGCUUCUGCAGGUGGAAUGGCCCUCAUGGCUGCUCUACCUAUUCCUUCUGCUACCCCCACACGUGGUGAGCCCCACCCAUUCUCUACCCCUGCAAAUCUAAUGUGAUGUGCACAAAAUACUUGCAAUUGUUCUCGACACAAGAGCACGUCAUGUAUUGUUCUAUUCGAAUGUGCAAUUUCAUUGCUUCUGUGCUUUUUUAUGCUUGCUUCACAAGAGCCAAAUCAUGGAUAUAAGUUGCGCUUCCUUUCAAGUUGAAUAGUAAUAAUCACCAUUUGGUUCCAUUUUCUCCUCUGCAUCCCAGUGUUCAGUCUCUCAUAGAUGUCCAUAUAUACACAGUUCCGAUCUCCUUUUUUCUGUGGCUCCAUACAGCGAACAUCAAAGCCGUCGAUGCACUGAGGGCUCAAUGUCGUGCCCGUCGGCUAAGCGGCAAGCCAGGGUUGGGCCUGCACACUGCCUAUCAGCACUCACCGUCUCCAUUCACGGAUCUGCAGGUAUGCAUGGUAAUGUUAAAGAGGCCCCUUAUGCUCCUGCAGAUUUGUGGGUGAUUCCCUGUUGGGUUUUCCUGUGGUAGAUUCUCUGUUGAUGAAGACUGUGGUGCAAUACUUCCUGGAGACAUAUGGUUUCAAUAUUCAGCACACUACAUUACCCUGUUACUUUUUGUGUAGAAAUAAUAGGUUAUAUCUUCUGCUUUCUACCAUAAGAAAUGAUAAAUCAAGGUGGAUAAUAACAGGUUAUAUCACAAUAGUGAUCAAAGGGAAGAGAAGUACUUUUGCAAGUCAUGCGUGGAAUUUUAUCAGACAAAUUUUUAUUCUUCAGAUGUGUAAUCCUAUUUUUAUGAGAUAUAUGUAUUUCUUCUUGAUCAUUCUUUUGGGAUUAGGGGUAGUAGAAUAAUCAGAAUAUACCUGAGGUGUUUGUACCAUCUGCAUACACUUUAGCUCAGAAUAAUAAUGUGCUUCCUGUUACUUGCUCUGUUUUGAUAAUGUACAUACAUCAAUUGUGAUAUAUAUAAUUGGUAGCAGAUAAACAAUAUUAGUUUUCCAGUGAAUGAUUUUAGAUUCUUCCAUGAAAGCAUCUCCCCCCUUUUUGCGAUUUCCGUUUCAUGAAAUGAGUACGAUGACUGUCGUGAUAUGUUUCUUCUCUGAAUAUUUAUUACCAUGAACUCGAGUAUCCGGCGUGUGUAGUUGUAUACCUCCUUCUUAGAAUUGGAUGAACACCCAUAGUUCAUUUUGGGCUAAUGCAGUGUGUUUUUUCUCGAAUGCUUACGCUUGAUGCUUCGUGUGAUUUUAAACUUCCCGUCACCAUGGAUCUAUGGCCAUCUACUUUAGCUGUUAUGUGAUGAUCUGAUUUACUUGGCAUAUUAGGAGUUGAUGAUUUAGAUCUGGAAGGAAAUGUAACUUUGACAUUGUAUGUUGCAAACUUUAUUAUCCUAAUAAAAAUUUAUAAUCAGGUCUGAUCGAUUGAGACAUGCUUCUAAGACAAGUACAGUAGUAGUUACAUUAGCAACAUGAAUUUAUCUUUGACUUGAAACUCUGGAUCUUUUCUAAAGAUGAUCGACGGUGUUGCAAUUUAUCUCCGCCUUUUUUCAACGGAUGCGUGUCCAUCCCCUGUUUAUCAAUUGUGUGUUUCCUUACUUAAUCAAGAAACAUCUUAAUUUCAUGGCGGGUAUGUUGAAGAAUAUUUGAAAAUAUAAAUGCUUCCUUCUUUUGAAUAAUCUGGUUCCCUUUUGCUAGAUCAAGGAACAUCUUAAUUUCGCAGCCGCUGUUCUCCCCGUCGAGCUUGGCCUUUGCCAUUGCUGGGAGCAGACUGGACUCAAACUUGAAUUGCUCUGUUUCGGGAUUUAAACCUUCUUCAGUUAGGAAAUCACAAAUAUCUUGCUUGCAUAGAAAGAAACUUGGAGGUUCUUGAUCACACAAAGGUGUUUUUUUACAUGUAGGUGCCUUCUUUUAAUCUACGCAUGACCCAGGUUUCUGUGAUGUGCAGUUUGGCCCAUGAGCCUGCGGAUACGUGCUUUCUUGACCUUGCGACACACUGUCCUCCUCCGCCGGCCGCCUAACAGGUCUGUCCUUCUUCUUACUCUAGCAGCAGAAACUGAAGCAGCUAGGGUUCACCACCAUAUUGCCCAUUAUCUUUAUUUUUUCUGCCCCUCUUCCACCAACAAUUACCUUGCAAUAAUGUAGCUUCAAUCUUUGUUUUGUACAGUGUUUCUUAAUCCUGGUUCGUUUCAGUUGAUUGAUUUAGGCAGAUCAUGGAGGCUGGUUCUCACAUUUAUGUUUGGGGAAUUCUUCAAUUGAUAAAUUGAAAUGACUGCUGGUUAGGUAAUUAGUUCACUGAAAGGAGUGUCAUACAUCAUCUCUUCAUGCAAAUAUGGUACAUCAAAUUGUCUAUUUGUUUUGUGUGCUCCUUGGAGAUGUUAACUGAACUUCAAAAUAAAUCAGUUUUUUGUUUGUCUAAGAUUAUUUUAGACCCGAGAACUUGGGUCUGUUUAGAGUUACAUAUGUUAUAGAAGGUUGUCGUUCUGCUAUACUACCAACAAGUCACAAAUGGUUGUUAGAUAUUUGGAUGGAUUUGUUGAGUCAACCAUUGUAUUUAUCAUUUCUUUUUAUCAUUUCUUUAACUGUUAAUAGUAUACGUAGUGCUCACUCUGCUUUUCUAGGCACCUCAAGUCACUUUGACACUGUCAUCAUUCAAAAUAUGUGCAAACAAGCCCAUUGGUGCUCGACAUGGAUACGUGGUUUUUCGACCUCACGUGAUACGCUAACCUAAUCCGCCGGCCGCCUAUAGGUCUUUGUGUGUGUGUGUGUGUGUGUGUGUGUGUGUGUGUGUGUGUGUGUGUGUGUGUGUGUGUGUGUGUGUGUGUGUGUGUGUGUGUGUGUGCACGCGCGCGCGCCUAUGCCAUUAAAAGCAGGCGGAGGUGCAGCAAUGGAGGAUCCAACCAUCGAUCGAGAUCGAUAUAAGGCUAAGUAACUAAUUUUUGCUUUUGCUAUCCUGAAUUUCUAUGCUGCACAUUAUGUGUGUGUGUGUGUGUGGAAUUGCUGUGACAUGCUUUUUUCAACUAUACUCACAUUCUUUGCUUUAGUUGAUUAUUCUAUGCUUGCCCUGUUAACCAUCUUCUUCAUUUUUAAUGAGAGUCUCUUAAACUAUCUGGUUAGAAGAUAGGUGUAAUAAAUACAUGGUGGUUAAAUCUGAAGCAUAUACGUAUUAUUUUGAGGAAGAGUUCUGUUCGUAUACCUGCAUUGUUGCUACUUGAAUUUUAUUUUCUCGGCUGUAUGGAAGUAUUAGUUCUUUUCAAGUCAAUAUGUUGAUUGACAGAAUAACUAGAAGAUCCACUUGUUGGGAUGGUGCAAGUUUAACAUAAUGCACCUGAUGGCAGGAUACAUGAAAAAAUAAUAAUUUGUGGUAUUAAUCGCGAGCAAAUAAUGGUGAGAUCCAUGCCAUAUAUAUAUAUCAUAAAACCUUGUCGCAAUCUCUAUGUUAUUCUAUGUCACUUCUGGUAAUACAUUGUGAUUCUUACAAGGAAUUACUUCCUCCUCUUUCCCCCUGGUUUUCUUUUGCAUGGAUAUUGUAACCUCACUAGGAUGGAUUAAGAAUCUCAUGUGCUCCCUUUCCCUAAUAAAAUAGGACUUUCAAAAAUAAUGAGACUUUCACUCCUUUUUCUUUGUUGAUCUCUCUAAUUUCUGAUUACAAAUAUAUGCAGGUUUCUACUCUGUUUCAAGAACUUAAAGGACAUGCUUGCGAAUCAUGGACAACAUUGGCCUGGUACGGAGCUCGAGUCUAAGCUCUUGCUUGGCUUUAGGUGCAAACACGGGCCUUCAGUUCACCUAGAUCAAGAAGCGGAUGCUUGUGCCCAUUGUGUGUGACCGUGAUAUAGGCACUCACUCUGGAAUAUGAGAAUAAUUUGAUGAUCCUGUCUGGAAGAUAGUUCAAUAGUGAAUUUGACCACUUAUGUAUAGGUAUUUGUUGUUGUGUUAUGUAUGGAGAUGCAGAUUCUCAGGCUUAAGGUUUUAGUUUGGUAGUUUUAAGUGUUAUUGAUUGUUUUGUUGCAACUGGUUGUUGCUUAGCGUGAUAACCAAAGGAAUGCCUCUUGAAAAUUAAGAUCCUUAUUAUGUGUUCUUUCUAUGAGAUUGAUGCAAUGUGAACUUAUAUUCUUGGCGAAA